GGAUAAUGGAAUGCAAAGCCCUGGUGUGAAGAAAUAAGUUCUUGGCUGUGAAGGCUUUGUACCAUCUAUGGUGUUUUUCAGCAGAACUUUCUAAUGUAAGGGUUCCAUAGAUUCUUCAAUAUUUAUGCAGAGGUGUCUGCAAAUUUUCUGCCCACAAAAUGAGUUGCAGCUGCCGUACUGAACAGGUGUGCCUCUCAUUAAUUGCAUCUGCAGUGAUAUCAUCAGAGGCUCAGAUCUGGAUAUACUGUUGCUAGAGCUGCCCAGAAGAAUCUUCUCAGCCAGAAAGUAGGAAUAGAUCAACUAAGCCCUCUAUCUCUGAUUGUAAAUAGCUUCUGACACAUAAUCAAGACCCUCAUUAAUUUCUCCCACACCCUUUCUUCAUAU